rnacentral:rRNA from 1 species
UACCAGCUCUCCGAGUGGUGUGGAUGUUUAUUGGGCCUAAAGCAUCCGUAGCCGGUUUGGUAAAUAUCUGGGUAAAUCGUGAGGCUUAACUUCACGAAUUUCGGAUAGACUGCCAGACUUGGGAUCGGGGGAGGUCAGAGGUACUCCAGGGGUAGCGGUGAAAUGUUGUAAUCCUUGGAGGACCACCGGUAGCGAAGGCGUCUGACUAGAACGAGUCCGACGGUGAGGGACGAAGCCCUGGGGCGCAAACCGGAUUAGAUACCCGGGUAGUCCAGGGUGUAAACGAUGUGGGCUUUGUAUUGGAGGUCCCACGUGGGCGUCCAGUGCAGAAGAGAAGUUGUUAAGCCCACCGCCUGGGAAGUACGGUCGCAAGGCUGAAACUUAAAGGAAUUGGCGGGGGAGCACAGCAACGGGAGGAGCGUGCGGUUU